GAGACAGGGACAGGGUUUCUCUGUAUUGCUUUGGAGCUUGUCCUGGAACUCACUCUGUAGACCAGGCUGGCUUCAAACUCCCAGAGGUCCGCUGCCUCUGCCUCCCGAGUGCUGGGAUUAAAGGCGUGCACGACAACUUCUCAAGUAAAGCAGUGUCCAUGUCAAAAUGUAACUGUUAGCAGGUAGUUUGUGGCAAAGGUGACUAAAGAUGAAGCAAAUCUGAAUCUGUGUAUACUAAUGAACUGUGUUUUCUGUUGAGACUAUCAUUGUUUGUCCUAUAAGAGGCAAUGACCUGAAUCUCUGUCUGAAAUAUAACUUAUGCAGGAAUAGUUCUGUAAAUACAUUUAAAUAAACUGUAAAGAUAUUUAAUAAAUAUAGUAUUUAUACUAAUUGCCACUCCUUUGGUUUUGAAUGGUCAGGAACUAGGACACCAGUCCUUUCUAGCACAUCCUUAACCCCAAGCCUCUUGGUCUACCUAACAGUGGGCCAGCACUACAGAGCUUCACCAUUAGAACUGGUGUGGAUGUUAAUAAACAGCUACUUAUCUUCCUCAAAAAUUCACCAAAAUGGACUGGCAAUUGAGUGUAAAAUUGAGGUGUUUUUUGUUUUUGUUUUGAUUUUUUUUCCAGCCGGGGUAUCGUUGUACCUUCCAAACAGUACUGAAUGAAACUACCAAAAAUUGCUGCUGACCCAGGUUGACAGUAUCACAGUCUUGUAUAGACUACUCUGUACUCAGGGUACUGCUGACCCAGGUUGACAGUAUCACAGUCUUGUAUAGACUACUCUGUACUCAGGGUACUGCUGACCCAGGUGCUGUGGAGUGAACCCAGGCCUUGUCCUCAGCAGGGAGACCUACAGAGUUGCUCUGCAGCCACCUGUGUCCGUUAGGAAUGUCAGAAAUCAGUUAGUCAUCAGUGUAAACAUGGCAUUUAUAAAUUCUCAGCCUACAAUGGGGAAGACAGAACUACUGAGAUAGGUGGGCAUUGCCAGUUUCUACAAAAAGCUUGGUGAAAGCCCAUUUUUCAUUCACACAGGAACAUUUUGGGAUAAAGUUGGGUUUUUAUUAGGUUACUGUGGGCAGCUGUGACUCAUUGCUAAGCUACAAGAGCCAAAUCACUCUGGUUUCAGCUAGAAUCUGCUCACACUUCUGAAGCACGCUAAUCCACUUAGGCAGCACUUCCAAUUUCUAAGGGACUAAAGUACAGUGGCCUGCUGGUUGACAUUUCCUUAUGGUUUGAUGGCUUUCUGAAGACUUAGCAAUAAGAUGUUCCCUAAGGCUCCUUUGUCGGCUUGUAAUUGACUGUAAACAGAUUUGAAGAGAGAGUCCCACAACAUAAGAUGUUAUGUAAUAUUGUGUCUGUGCAGGUAAGCAGCUCCAUCUGAGAAAGCAGGCGUUCGUCUUCCUCAUUCCACUGCAGCCUGAACUCAGGCUGCUGCUGCGGGUGCUGAUGAUUCAGACAGACUGGGCUUCACUCCACUCCAUGCUUUUUUUUGGAAAGGCAAGACAAAGUUUUACUUUUAAGUGAUUACAAGCACACCAAAUAACAUGUAACACGUUCUUGAGUGCUAGCAUCUAGUAAUUUGGGUUAAGAUACACUAAAAGCAGCCUGAACAAGCAUAUUCACUGUCCUAAAUUAGCCAGAAUGGACUACUAUAAGGCUGGCUGUUGCUUCAUAAGAGUUACAAAUGCUAUUUACUACUUUCUUAUAGAUAACACCCCUGACCUUUAAGAAAGUGGAAGGGAACAAUUUAUUCACUUUCUUUCUUCAAAGAAUUGUUUGGUUUUUUGUUUUUUGUUUUGUUUUUUUUUCUAUUAGGCUAAUAAAGGAAAAUCAACAGUGAUGCCUGCUGCUUGCACAAACACGCAGGAAACAUAUAUUCCUUAAAGACACACAAGGUAAAAAGAUGAAACUUCAGGGACUUACUAAGUUGUACAAAAAGCUAG
rnacentral:lncRNA from 1 species